rnacentral:rRNA from 1 species
CAGCCGCCGCGGGAAUACGAAGGGGGCUAGCGUUGUUCGGAUUUACUGGGCGUAAAGGGUGCGUAGGCGGAUUGUUAAGUCAGGGGUGAAAUGCCGGGGCUCAACCUCGGAACUGCCUUUGAUACUGGCGAUCUUGAGUCCGGGAGAGGUGAGUGGAACUGCGAGUGUAGAGGUGAAAUUCGUAGAUAUUCGCAAGAACACCAGUGGCGAAGGCGGCUCACUGGCCCGGAACUGACGCUGAGGCACGACAGCGUGGGGAGCAAACAGGAUUAGAUACCCCUGUAGUCCCUGUCUCUUAUAC